UCCGGGGGUAGAGCACUGUUUCGGCUAGGGGGCCAUCCCGGCUUACCAACCCGAUGCAAACUGCGAAUACCGGAGAAUGUUAUCACGGGAGACACACGGCGGGUGCUAACGUCCGUCGUGAAGAGGGAAACAACCCAGACCGCCAGCUAAGGUCCCAAAGUCAUGGUUAAGUGGGAAACGAUGUGGGAAGGCCCAGACAGCCAGGAUGUUGGCUUAGAAGCAGCCAUCAUUUAAAGAAAGCGUAAUAGCUCACUGGUCGAGUCGGCCUGCGCGGAAGAUGUAACGGGGCUAAACCAUGCACCGAAGCUGCGGCAGCGACGCUGAUGCGUUGUUGGGUAGGGGAGCGUUCUGUAAGCCUGCGAAGGUGGCCUGUGAGGGUUGCUGGAGGUAUCAGAAGUGCGAAUGCUGACAUAAGUAACGAUAAAGCGGGUGAAAAGCCCGCUCGCCGGAAGACCAAGGGUUCCUGUCCAACGUUAAUCGGGGCAGGGUGAGUCGACCCCUAAGGCGAGGCCGAAAGGCGUAGUCGAUGGGAAACGGGUUAAUAUUCCCGUACUUGGUGUUACUGCGAAGGGGGGACGGAGAAGGCUAUGUUGGCCGGGCGACGGUUGUCCCGGUUUAAGCGUGUAGGUGUGUGUUCCAGGUAAAUCCGGUUCACUUUAACACUGAGGCGUGACGACGAGGCACUACGGUGCUGAAGCAACAAAUGCCCUGCUUCCAGGAAAAGCCUCUAAGCAUCAGGUAACAUCAAAUCGUACCCCAAACCGACACAGGUGGUCAGGUAGAGAAUACCAAGGCGCUUGAGAGAACUCGGGUGAAGGAACUAGGCAAAAUGGUGCCGUAACUUCGGGAGAAGGCACGCUGACACGUAGGUGAAGUGAUUUACUCAUGGAGCUGAAGUCAGUCGAAGAUACCAGCUGGCUGCAACUGUUUAUUAAAAACACAGCACUGUGCAAACACGAAAGUGGACGUAUACGGUGUGACGCCUGCCCGGUGCCGGAAGGUUAAUUGAUGGGGUCAGCGCAAGCGAAGCUCCUGAUCGAAGCCCCGGUAAACGGCGGCCGUAACUAUAACGGUCCUAAGGUAGCGAAAUUCCUUGUCGGGUAAGUUCCGACCUGCACGAAUGGCGUAAUGAUGGCCAGGCUGUCUCCACCCGAGACUCAGUGAAAUUGAACUCGCUGUGAAGAUGCAGUGUACCCGCGGCAAGACGGAAAGACCCCGUGAACCUUUACUAUAGCUUGACACUGAACAUUGAGCCUUGAUGUGUAG
rnacentral:rRNA from 1 species